ACCCGCACAAGCGUGGAUGAUGUGGAUUAUUCGAUGCAACGCGAAAAACCUUACCAACCCUUGACAUGGAUAUCGCGGGACCAGAGAUGGUUCUUUCAGUUCGGCUGGAUAUCACACAGGUGCUGCAUGGCUGUCGUCAGCUCGUGUCGUGAGAUGUUCGGUUAAUCCGGCAACGAGCGCAACCCACAUCCCCAGUUGCCAGCAGGUCAAGCUGGGCACUCUGUGGAAACUGCCCGUGAUAAGCGGGAGGAAGGUGUGGAUGACGUCAAGUCCUCAUGGCCCUUACGGGUUGGGCUACACACGUGCUACAAUGGUGGUGACAAUGGGUUAAUCCCCAAAAGCCAUCUCAGUUCGGAUUGGGGUCUGCAACUCGACCCCAUGAAGUCGGAAUCGCUAGUAAUCGCGUAACAGCAUGACGCGGUGAAUACGUUCCCGGGCCUU
rnacentral:rRNA from 1 species